rnacentral:rRNA from 1 species
UACGUAGGGUGCGAGCGUUGUCCGGAAUUAUUGGGCGUAAAGAGCUCGUAGGCGGUGUGUCGCGUCGGCCGUGAAAACCUGCAGCUUAACUGUGGGCGUGCGGUCGAUACGGGCAUCACUGGAGUUCGGCAGGGGAGACUGGAAUUCCUGGUGUAGCGGUGAAAUGCGCAGAUACCAGGAGGAACACCGGUGGCGAAGGCGGGUCUCUGGGCCGAUACUGACGCUGAGGAGCGAAAGCGUGGGGAGCGAACAGG